GACGAACGCUGGCGGCGUGCCUAAUACGUGCAAGUAGAACGCUGAAGGAGGAGCUUGCUUCUCUGGAUGAGUUGCGAACGGGUGAGUAACGCGUAGGUAACCUGCCUGGUAGCGGGGGAUAACUAUUGGAAACGAUAGCUAAUACCGCAUAAUAGUAGAUGUUGCAUGACAUUUGCUUAAAAGGUGCAAUUGCAUCACUACCAGAUGGACCUGCGUUGUAUUAGCUAGUUGGUGGGGCAACGGCUCACCAAGGCGACGAUACAUAGCCGACCUGAGAGGGUGAUCGGCCACACUGGGACUGAGACACGGCCCAGACUCCUACGGGAGGCAGCAGUAGGGAAUCUUCGGCAAUGGACGGAAGUCUGACCGAGCAACGCCGCGUGAGUGAAGAAGGUUUUCGGAUCGUAAAGCUCUGUUGUAAGAGAAGAACGAGUGUGAGAGUGGAAAGUUCACACUGUGACGGUAUCUUACCAGAAAGGGACGGCGAACUACGU
rnacentral:rRNA from 1 species